GACGAACGCUGGCGGCGUGCUUAACACAUGCCAGUCGAACGGAAAGGCCCUGCUUUUGUGGGGUGCUCGAGUGGCGAACGGGUGAGUAACACGUGAGUAACCUGCCCUUGACUUUGGGAUAACUUCAGGAAACUGGGGCUAAUACCGGAUAGGAGCUCCUGCUGCAUGGUGGGGGUUGGAAAGUUUCGGCGGUUGGGGAUGGACUCGCGGCUUAUCAGCUUGUUGGUGGGGUAGUGGCUUACCAAGGCUUUGACGGGUAGCCGGCCUGAGAGGGUGACCGGCCACGUUGGGACUGAGAGACGGCCCAGACUCCUACGGGAGGCAGCAGUGGGGAAUAUUGCACAAUGGGCGGAAGUCUGAUGCAGCAACGCCGCGUGCGGGAUGACGGCCUUCGGGUUGUAAACCGCUUUCGCCUGUGACGAAGCGUGAGUGACGGUAAUGGGUAAAGAAGCACCGGCUAACUACGUG
rnacentral:rRNA from 1 species